CCUACGGGAGGCUGCAGUGGGGAAUAUUGGGCAAUGGGCGCAAGCCUGACCCAGCAACGCCGCGUGAAGGAAGAAGGCUUUCGGGUUGUAAACUUCUUUUCUCAGGGACGAAGAAAGUGACGGUACCUGCGGAAUAAGCCACGGCUAACUACGUGCCAGCAGCCGCGGUAAUACUUAGGUGGCAAGCGUUAUCCGGAUUUAUUGGGUGUAAAGGGCGUGUAGGCGGGAGCGCAAGUCAGAUGUGAAAACUCAGGGCUCAACCCUGAGCAUGCAUUUGAAACUGUGUUUCUUGAGUACUGGAGAGGCAAUCGGAAUUCCGUGUGUAGCGGUGAAAUGCGUAGAUAUACGGAGGAACACCAGUGGCGAAGGCGGAUUGCUGGACAGUAACUGACGCUGAGGCGCGAAAGCGUGGGGAGCAAACAGGAUUAGAUACCCCAGUAGUC
rnacentral:rRNA from 1 species